GUCAGAUGUGGUGGUACCCACCUGCAAUCCCUACUACCAGGGUGGCUGAGGUUGGCAGGUUUCUUGAGUUAGGACUUUCUGAGCUGCUGCUGGCUAGGCCAAUUGGAUGGCUGCGCUAAGUCUGACACUAAUCUGAUGAAGGCCCAAGGAGUGGGGAGACCAGGUUGCCUAAGGAGGGGGCAAAGCAGUCCAGCUCAGAAAUGGAGCGGGUCAAGUUUCCUGUGCCCAUAAGUAGUGGGAUCUGAGCCAUGAGUGUCCCCUGCACUUCUAGCCUGGACAAGACAGGCAGGCCCAGUCUCAA
ensembl:misc_RNA Metazoa_SRP Metazoan signal recognition particle RNA